UACGAAGGGGGCUAGCGUUGCUCGGAAUCACUGGGCGUAAAGGGUGCGUAGGCGGGUCGUUUAAGUCAGGGGUGAAAUCCUGGAGCUCAACUCCAGAACUGCCUUUGAUACUGAAGAUCUUGAGUUCGGGAGAGGUGAGUGGAACUGCGAGUGUAGAGGUGAAAUUCGUAGAUAUUCGCAAGAACACCAGUGGCGAAGGCGGCUCACUGGCCCGAUACUGACGCUGAGGCACGAAAGCGUGGGGAGCAAACAGG
rnacentral:rRNA from 1 species